CUUGAGCGAGCCGAGCAGCAGCGGGCGUUCGGGGUCACGGCCCUGGCCGUACGUGGCCAGCAGUGCCUGAGCCUC
rfam:Streptomyces sp. NBRC 110611 DNA, contig: scaffold00039.